AGCAGAGUAGUGGUAGAAGUACAGAACAAAAAUAUUUUCGAAAACAAUGAAUUUGAGUUUCAGUGAUGUACCAAUUUGCUAUAUUGUUGAGUUGAGCUGAUUUUGAUGUGCUUUGGGAGCUAAUCAAGUAAUAAUUAUACAACUAGAAAUUGGUUUUGAAUCAAAACUUUUAUUUCUCUGGCUAAGAAUAAGCCGGACCUUGUUGGGCAGAGCAACAAUUUUCCAAAUACUACAAAGAAGGCAAAAGUACUAUCGAACACACUUAAUUCUUAUUUAUAAUAGACAUUUUACAUAGAUGGUUGCUGGUGCAAGAGGGCUCCUACUCCGAGGUACUUGAACCCGAGUUGACAUGAAAGCUGGUGCAAGAUCAUCUUCACCAACAUUAAGCUGUUAGAAUGAAAAAAAAAAAACAAAAAAAGAAAACAAGAAACGUGUACAGAAUUAACAAUUAAAGUGAAAAACACACAACAUAAUGACAUGCAAUAACAACUUACAUCUUCUUUAUCAACUUUUCCCAUAUUUAGGAAUCAAGUAAAGUUGAAACCAUUGCAAUUUCCUUUGUAUAAUUCAAACCCAAAAGUGUCUGAUUUCUAUGAAACCCUCACGUUCUCAACAUUCUAAGUUGGAAGCAAUAGAAUUACGAAUUUUAAGGCCGCUUUAAAUAUGACGGGCGCAAGACAGUUUGGAGUUGAGGCCUUAAUGAGAAGUAACCCUCCACCGUUUUUUUUUGUUUAUUCUCGAUUUCUUCAUUAUGUUAGGUUUUGUUCCCAUGUCGCUUUAUUAAAACUUUUUGUUUAUGAUACAUUUAAAACUCUUGUAUAAAUUUUACAGAAACACCAU